UACGGGGGGUGCAAGCGUUGUCCGGAUUUAUUGGGCGUAAAGAGCUCGUAGGCGGUUUGUCGCGUCUGCUGUGAAAACUGGAGGCUCAACCUCCAGCCUGCAGUGGGUACGGGCAGACUAGAGUGCGGUAGGGGAGAUUGGAAUUCCUGGUGUAGCGGUGGAAUGCGCAGAUAUCAGGAGGAACACCAAUGGCGAAGGCAGAUCUCUGGGCCGUAACUGACGCUGAGGAGCGAAAGCAUGGGGAGCGAACAGG
rnacentral:rRNA from 1 species